UACAGAGACUGCAAGCGUUAUUCGGAAUUAUUGGGCGUAAAGGGCGCGUAGGCGGCUUUUCAAGUGACGGGUGAAAUCCCUCGGCUUAACCGAGGAACUGCCUGUCAGACUGGAAGGCUUGAGACCGGGAGAGGUGAGUGGAAUUCCCAGUGUAGCGGUGAAAUGCGUAGAUAUUGGGAGGAACACCAGUGGCGAAGGCGGCUCACUGGACCGGAACUGACGCUGAGGCGCGAAAGCGUGGGGAGCAAACAGG
rnacentral:rRNA from 1 species